AGAGCGAACGCUGGCGGCAGGCCUAACACAUGCAAGUCGAACGGACUCUUCGGAGUUAGUGGCGGACGGGUGAGUAACACGUGGGAACGUGCCUUUAGGUUCGGAAUAGCUCCUGGAAACGGGUGGUAAUACCGAAUGUGCCCUUCGGGGGAAAGAUUUAUCGCCUUUAGAGCGGCCCGCGUCUGAUUAGCUUGUUGGUGAGGUAAUGGCUCACCAAGGCUACGAUCAGUAGCUGGUCUGAGAGGAUGACCAGCCACAUUGGGACUGAGACACGGCCCAAACUCCUACGGGAGGCAGCAGUGGGGAAUCUUGCGCAAUGGGCGAAAGCCUGACGCAGCCAUGCCGCGUGUAUGAUGAAGGUCUUAGGAUUGUAAAAUACUUUCACCGGUGAAGAUAAUGACUGUAGCCGGAGAAGAAGCCCGGCUAACUCGUGCCAGCAGCCGAC
rnacentral:rRNA from 1 species